rnacentral:rRNA from 1 species
UACGGGGGGGGUAAGCGGUUGUUCGGAAUUACUGGGCGUAAAGGGCUCGUAGGCGGCCAACUAAGUCAGACGUGAAAUCCCUCAGCUUAACUGGGGAACUGCGUCUGAUACUGGAUGGCUUGGAUUCGGGAGAGGAAUGCGGAAUUCCAGGUGUAGCGGUGAAAUGACGUAGAUAUCUGGAGGAACACCGAUGGCGAAGGCAAUCCCCUGGGCCUGCACUGACGCUCAUGCACGAAAGCGUGGGGAGCAAACAGG